CAGCAGCCGCGGGAAUACUGAGGGUGCAAGCGUUAAUCGGAUUUACUGGGCGUAAAGGGCGCGUAGGUGGUUAUGUAAGUGAGAUGUGAAAUCCCCGGGCUCAACCUGGGAACUGCAUCUUAUACUGCGUAGCUGGAGUGCAGUAGAGGGUAGUGGAAUUUCCGGUGUAGCGGUGAAAUGCGUAGAUAUCGGAAGGAACACCAGUGGCGAAGGCGGCUACCUGGACUGACACUGACACUGAGGCGCGAAAGCGUGGGGAGCAAACAGGAUUAGAUACCCCAGUAGUCCCUGUCUCUUAUAC
rnacentral:rRNA from 1 species